rnacentral:rRNA from 1 species
GGUCAAGCGAACAAGUGCAUGUGGUGGAUGCCUUGGCGAUCACAGGCGAUGAAGGACGCGGUAGCCUGCGAAAAGCUUCGGGGAGCUGGCAAACAAGCUUUGAUCCGGAGAUGUCCGAAUGGGGAAACCCGGCCCGUAUGGGUCAUCCCUGACUGAAUACAUAGGUCAGGGAAGCGAACGCGGCGAACUGAAACAUCUAAGUAGCUGCAGGAACAGAAAUCAACCGAGAUUCCCAGAGUAGUGGCGAACGAAAUGGGAAGAGCCUUGUACUCUUUAGCAGUGUUGUUAGCAGAACGGGAUGGAAAGCCCGGCCAUAGCAGGUGAUAGCCCUGUAUGCGAAAACAGCGUUGUGGAACUAGGUGUACGACAAGUAGGGCGGGACACGUGAAAUCCUGUCUGAAGAUGGGGGGACCAUCCUCCAAGGCUAAAUACUCGUGAUCGACCGAUAGUGAACCAGUACCGUGAGGGAAAGGCGAAAAGAACCCCGGGAGGGGAGUGAAAUAGAUCCUGAAACCGCAUGCAUACAAACAGUCGGAGCCUGGAAACGGGUGACGGCGUACCUUUUGUAUAAUGGGUCAGCGACUUACAUUCAGUGGCAAGCUUAACCGAUUAGGGAAGGCGUAGCGAAAGCGAGUCCGAAUAGGGCGUUCAGUCGCUGGGUGUAGACCCGAAACCAGACGAUCUAUCCAUGGCCAGGUUGAAGGUGCGGUAACACGUACUGGAGGACCGAACCCACUAACGUUGAAAAGUUAGGGGAUGAGCUGUGGAUAGGGGUGAAAGGCUAAACAAGUCUGGAAAUAGCUGGUUCUCUCCGAAAACUAUUUAGGUAGUGCCUCGUGUCUCACCUUCGGGGGUAGAGCACUGUCAUGGUUGGGGGGUCUAUUGCUGAUUACCCCGCCAUAGCAAACUCCGAAUACCGAAGAGUGCAAUCACGGGAGACAGACAUCGGGUGCUAACGUCCGGUGUCAAGAGGGAAACAACCCAGACCGCCAGCUAAGGUCCCUAAGAUUGGCUAAGUGGGAAACGAAGUGGGAAGGCUAAAACAGUCAGGAGGUUGGCUUAGAAGCAGCCAUCCUUUAAAGAAAGCGUAAUAGCUCACUGAUCGAGUCGUCCUGCGCGGAAGAUGUAACGGGGCUAAGCCAGUCACCGAAGCUGCGGAUGCACGUAAGUGCAUGGUAGGAGAGCGUUCUGUAAGCCUGUGAAGGUGUCUUGUAAAGGAUGCUGGAGGUAUCAGAAGUGCGAAUGCUGACAUGAGUAGCGAUAAAGGGGUGAAAAGCCCCCUCGCCGUAAGCCCAAGGUUUCCUACGCAACGUUCAUCGGCGUAGGGUGAGUCGGCCCCUAAGGCGAGGCAGAGAUGCGUAGCUGAUGGGAAGCAGGUUAAUAUUCCUGCACCGUCGUAUGAUGCGAUGGGGGGACGGAUCGCGGAAGGUUGUCCGGGUGUUGGAAGUCCCGGUCCCUGCAUUGGAGAAGGCGCUUAGGCAAAUCCGGGCGCGGAAUUCAAGGAUGUGGGGCGAGCGGCCUAGUGCUGCGAAGCAAUUGGAAGUGGUUCCAAGAAAAGCCUCUAAGCUUCAGUCAUACGAGACCGUACCGCAAACCGACACAGGUGGGCGAGAUGAGUAUUCUAAGGCGCUUGAGAGAACUCGGGAGAAGGAACUCGGCAAAUUGGUACCGUAACUUCGGGAUAAGGUACGCCCUUGUAGCUUGACUGGCCUGCGCCAGGAGGGUGAAGGGGUUGCAAUAAAAUGGUGGCUGCGACUGUUUAAUAAAAACACAGCACUCUGCAAACACGAAAGUGGACGUAUAGGGUGUGACGCCUGCCCGGUGCCGGAAGAUUAAAUGAUGGGGUGCAAGCUCUUGAUUGAAGUCCCGGUAAACGGCGGCCGUAACUAUAACGGUCCUAAGGUAGCGAAAUUCCUUGUCGGGUAAGUUCCGACCUGCACGAAUGGCGUAACGAUGGCCACACUGUCUCCUCCCGAGACUCAGCGAAGUUGAAGUGUUUGUGAUGAUGCAAUCUCCCCGCGGCUAGACGGAAAGACCCCAUGAACCUUUACUGUAGCUUUGCAUUGGACUUUGAACCGAUCUGUGUAGGAUAGGUGGGAGGCUUUGAAGCGUGGACGCUAGUCUGCGUGGAGCCGUCCUUGAAAUACCACCCUGGUUUGUUUGAGGUUCUAACCUUGGUCCGUGAAUCCGGAUCGGGGACAGUGCAUGGUAGGCAGUUUGACUGGGGCGGUCUCCUCCCAAAGUGUAACGGAGGAGUUCGAAGGUACGCUUGGUACGGUCGGACAUCGUACCUAAAGUGCAAUGGCAAAAGCGUGCUUAACUGCGAGACCGACAAGUCGAGCAGGUGCGAAAGCAGGACAUAGUGAUCCGGUGGUUCUGAAUGGAAGGGCCAUCGCUCAACGGAUAAAAGGUACUCUGGGGAUAACAGGCUGAUACCGCCCAAGAGUUCAUAUCGACGGCGGUGUUUGGCACCUCGAUGUCGGCUCAUCUCAUCCUGGGGCUGUAGCCGGUCCCAAGGGUAUGGCUGUUCGCCAUUUAAAGAGGUACGUGAGCUGGGUUUAAAACGUCGUGAGACAGUUUGGUCCCUAUCUGCCGUGGGCGUUGGAAUCUUGACGGGGGCUGCUCCUAGUACGAGAGGACCGGAGUGGACGUACCGCUGGUGUACCUGUUGUCUCGCCAGAGGCAUCGCAGGGUAGCUAUGUACGGAAGAGAUAACCGCUGAAAGCAUCUAAGCGGGAAACUCGCCUGAAGAUGAGGAUUCCCUGGAGCCUUGAGCUCCUUGAAGGGUCGUUCGAGACCAGGACGUUGAUAGGCUGGGUGUGGAAGCGCAGUAAUGCGUUAAGCUAACCAGUACUAAUUGCCCGUAAGGCUUGAUCCU